rnacentral:rRNA from 1 species
GACGAACGCUGGCGGCGUGCUUAACACAUGCAAGUCGAACGGAAAGGCCCUGCAUUUGUGUGGUUCUCGAGUGGCGAACGGAUGGGUAACACGUGAGUAACCUGCCGUUGACUGUGGGAUAACUUCAGGAAACUGGGGCUAAUACCGGAUAGUAACGCCUGCUGAAUGGUGGGGGGGGGAAAGUUUCGGCGGUUGGGGCUGGACUCGCGGCUUAUCAGCUUGUUGGGGGGGGAGUGGCUUACCAAGGCAUUGACGGGUAGCCGGCCUGAGAGGGUGACCGGCGACCUUGCGCCUACGGGAGGGCCCAGACUGCUACGGUGGGCAGCAGUCGCGAAUAUUACGCAAUGGGCGCAAGCGUAAUGCAGCAACGCCGCGUGUGGGAUGACGGCUCUCCGGUUGGGAACGGCUUACGCCUGUGACGAAGCGUGAGUGACGGUAAUGGGUAAAGAAGCACCGGCUAACUACGUG